GAUGAACGCUGGCGGCGUGCCUAAUACAUGCAAGUCGAGCGAACAGACGAGGCGCUUGCUCCUCUGACGUUAGCGGCGGACGGGUGAGUAACACGUGGAUAACCCACUUAUAAGACUGGGAUAACUUCGGGAAACCGGCGCUAAUCCCGGAUAAUAUAUUGAACCGCAUGGUUCAAUAGUGAAAGACGGUUUUGCUGUCACUUAUAGAUGGAUACCCGCCGCAUUAGCUAGUUGGUAAGGUACAGGCUUACCACGGCGACGAUGCGUAGCCGACGGGAGAGAGUGAUCGGCCACACGGGAACGUAGACGCGGACCAGACGCCUACGGGAGGCAGCAGUAGGGAAUCUUCCGCAGUAGGCGAGAGCCUGACGGAGCAACGCCACGUGAGAUAUGAAGGUCUUCGGAUCGUAAAACUCUGUUAUUAGGUAAGAACAAAUGUGUAAGUAGCUAUGCACGUCUUGACGGUACCUAGUCAGAAAGCAACGGCUAACUACGUG
rnacentral:rRNA from 1 species